CGGGGUGUAGCUCAGCUGGUAGAGUGCAUGGUUUGGGACCAUGAUGUCGCAGGUUCAAGUCCUGUCACCCCGA
rnacentral:tRNA from 1 species